rnacentral:tRNA from 1 species
GGUCCCAUGGUUUAGUAGUUAGGACAUUGGACUUUGAAUCCAGUAACUUGUGUUCAAAUCUCGGUGGGACCU